AAAAAAGGUAAGCUACUAAGAGCGAAUGGUGGAUGCCUUGACUGGUAAAGGCGAUGAAGGACGUACUAGACUGCGAUAAGCUACGGGGAGCUGUCAAGAAGCUUUGAUCCGUAGAUUUCCGAAUGGGGCAACCCAAUGUAUAGAGAUAUACAUUACCUAUAUAGGAGCGAACGAGGGGAAUUGAAACAUCUUAGUACCCUCAGGAAAAGAAAUCAAUAGAGAUUGCGUCAGUAGCGGCGAGCGAAAGCGCAAGAGGGCAAACCCAGUGCUUGCACUGGGGGUUGUAGGACUGCAAUGUGCAAGAGGUAAGUUUAGCAGAACAUUCUGGAAAGUAUAACCAUAGAGGGUGAUAGUCCCGUAUGCGAAAAACAAACCUUAGCUAGCAGUAUCCUGAGUAGGGCGGGACACGAGGAAUCCUGUCUGAAGCUGGGUCGACCACGAUCCAACCCUAAAUACUAAUACCAGAUCGAUAGUGCACAAGUACCGUGAGGGAAAGGUGAAAAGAACUGAGGUGAUCAGAGUGAAAUAGAACCUGAAACCAUUUGCUUACAAUCAUUCAGAGCCCUAUGUAGCAAUACAGGGUGAUGGACUGCCUUUUGCAUAAUGAGCCUGCGAGUUGUGGUGUCUGGCAAGGUUAAGCAAACGCGAAGCCGUAGCGAAAGCGAGUCUGAAUAGGGCGCUUAGUCAGAUGCUGCAGACCCGAAACGAAGUGAUCUAUCCAUGAGCAAGUUGAAGCUAGUGUAAGAACUAGUGGAGGACUGAACCCAUAGGCGUUGAAAAGCCCCGGGAUGACUUGUGGAUAGGGGUGAAAGGCCAAUCAAACUUCGUGAUAGCUGGUUCUCUCCGAAAUAUAUUUAGGUAUAGCGUUGUGUCGUAAUAUAAGGGGGUAGAGCACUGAAUGGGCUAGGGCAUACACCAAUGUACCAAACCCUAUCAAACUCCGAAUACCUUAUAUGUAAUCACAGCAGUCAGGCGGCGAGUGAUAAAAUCCGUCGUCAAGAGGGAAACAACCCAGACUACCAGCUAAGGUCCCUAAAUCUUACUUAAGUGGAAAACGAUGUGAAGUUACUUAAACAACCAGGAGGUUGGCUUAGAAGCAGCCAUCCUUUAAAGAAAGCGUAAUAGCUCACUGGUCUAGUGAUUUUGCGCGGAAAAUAUAACGGGGCUAAAGUAAGUACCGAAGCUGUAGACUUGACUUUGUCAAGUGGUAGGAGAGCGUUCUAUUUGCGUCGAAGGUAUACCGGUAAGGAGUGCUGGAGCGAAUAGAAGUGAGCAUGCAGGCAUGAGUAGCGAUAAUUAAUGUGAGAAUCAUUAACGCCGUAAACCCAAGGUUUCCUACGCGAUGCUCGUCAUCGUAGGGUUAGUCGGGUCCUAAGUCGAGUCCGAAAGGGGUAGACGAUGGCAAAUUGGUUAAUAUUCCAAUACCAACAUUAGUGUGCGAUGGAAGGACGCUUAGGGCUAAGGGGGCUAGCGGAUGGAAGUGCUAGUCUAAGGUCGUAGGAGGUUAUACAGGCAAAUCCGUAUAACAAUACUCCGAGAACUGAAAGGCUUUUUGAAGUCUUCGGAUGGAUAGAAGAACCCCUGAUGCCAUCGAGCCAAGAAAAGUUUCUAAGUUUAGCUAAUGUUGCCCGUACCGUAAACCGACACAGGUGGGUGGGAUGAGUAUUCUAAGGCGCGUGGAAGAACUCUCUUUAAGGAACUCUGCAAAAUAGCACCGUAUCUUCGGUAUAAGGUGUGGUUCGCUUCGUAUUAGGAUUUACUCCGAAAGCGAAGAAACUUACAACAAAGAGUCCCUCCCGACUGUUUACCAAAAACACAGCACUCUGCUAACUCGUAAGAGGAUGUAUAGGGUGUGACGCCUGCCCGGUGCUCGAAGGUUAAUUGAUGGGGUUAGCAUUAGCGAAGCUCUUGAUCGAAGCCCGAGUAAACGGCGGCCGUAACUAUAACGGUCCUAAGGUAGCGAAAUUCCUUGUCGGUUAAAUACCGACCUGCAUGAAUGGCGUAACGAGAUGGGAGCUGUCUCAAAGAGGGAUCCAGUGAAAUUGUAGUGGAGGUGAAAAUUCCUCCUACCCGCGGCAAGACGGAAAGACCCCGUGGACCUUUACUACAGCUUGACACUGCUAUUUGGAUAAGAAUGUGCAGGAUAGGUGGGAGGCUUUGAGUAUAUGACGCCAGUUGUAUAUGAGCCAUUGUUGAGAUACCACUCUUUCUUAUUUGGGUAGCUAACCAGCUUGAGUUAUCCUCAAGUGGGACAAUGUCUGGUGGGUAGUUUGACUGGGGCGGUCGCCUCCCAAAUAAUAACGGAGGCUUACAAAGGUUGGCUCAGAACGGUUGGAAAUCGUUCGUAGAGUAUAAAGGUAUAAGCCAGCUUAACUGCAAGACAUACAAGUCAAGCAGAGACGAAAGUCGGUCUUAGUGAUCCGGUGGUUCUGUGUGGAAGGGCCAUCGCUCAAAGGAUAAAAGGUACCCCGGGGAUAACAGGCUGAUCUCCCCCAAGAGCUCACAUCGACGGGGAGGUUUGGCACCUCGAUGUCGGCUCAUCGCAUCCUGGGGCUGGAGCAGGUCCCAAGGGUAUGGCUGUUCGCCAUUUAAAGCGGUACGCGAGCUGGGUUCAGAACGUCGUGAGACAGUUCGGUCCCUAUCUGCCGUGGGCGUAAGAAGAUUGAAGAGAUUUGACCCUAGUACGAGAGGACCGGGUUGAACAAACCACUGGUGUAGCUGUUGUUCUGCCAAGAGCAUCGCAGCGUAGCUAAGUUUGGAAAGGAUAAACGCUGAAAGCAUCUAAGCGUGAAGCCAACUCUAAGAUGAAUCUUCUCUAAGCUCUCUAGAAGACUACUAGUUUGAUAGGCUGGGUGUGUAAUGGAUGAAAGUCCUUUAGCUGACCAGUACUAAUAGAGCGUUUGGCUUAUCUUUAAUAAAGCAU
rnacentral:rRNA from 1 species